GAUUUAAUGGAAAUAUGUUACGGCUGCUGCCUUCCUGGUCGUCUGAGUGUUUUCAGCUGUGUGUGUUCUAUCUAAAUGAGCUGUGCGGUUGCCCUCCCGGCAUUGGCUGCCAUCUCCUGGUCCGCCCCUGAAGAUUGCGAUUGGAGCACGCCGGGCCCGACGCACUCCAAUCGCAGCGCACAGCCGGCGCACACCUGCUGGAGAUUAUUACAAAGCUUGGGGACAAUCAUCAUUCUGGAGGCUCUGUAUGUGGACAGAUGCCUCUCGCUACUUGCUCUUUGUUCUGGGGUUAAAUUUGUGUGAUUAGUUAGAGUGUAGAGUA